rnacentral:rRNA from 1 species
UACGGAGGGGGCAAGCGUUAUUCGGAAUUAUUGGGCGUAAAGGGCGCGUAGGCGGCGAUUCAAGUGACGGGUGAAAUCCCUCGGCUUAACCGAGGAACUGCCUGUCAGACUGGAUUGCUUGAGGCCGGGAGAGGCGAGUGGAAUUCCCAGUGUAGCGGUGAAAUGCGUAGAUAUUGGGAGGAACACCAGUGGCGAAGGCGGCUCGCUGGACCGGUUCUGACGCUGAGGCGCGAAAGCGUGGGGAGCAAACAGG